rnacentral:tRNA from 1 species
GGAGGGGUGGCCGAGUGGCUGAAGGCACCGGUCUUGAAAACCGGCGACGGGAAACCGUUCCAGAGUUCGAAUCUCUGCUCCUCCGCCA